AGAGUUGAAGCGCAGGAGUUGCAGGCGGUCGUGGCGGCGGCGGCGGAGGAGGCGAGGCAGGCAGAUCCGAGCGAGCCUUCGACGGGUGUGGAGCUCCUUCCUGUCACGCGCCGCCGCUCCUCGCCGUCGCUUCUUUCUCUUCGUCUCCCCCUCUCCCUCUGUCUGUUUCUUCGGCCGACGAGCACUUUCCCCUUCGCGUGGAAGACCUGAAGGCUGAACGUUGGCACUUCGGGCGCGACACCGCAAUGGAGAUGUGGAUUGCAUGUGCUUCGCUGCAGCUGCUGGCGGUGCUGGCAGUGCUGACCCAGGGGGGCGCAGCGGCCUCCACCGCAGCCGAGACGACCUUGCUCCGCUGGAAGCGCCAGGCCAUCCACUGCCAGCCGGGAGACGCGGCCUGCGCGCUCUGCUCGUCCUCCUGUGACACCGUGGAGGCGUCCCGGCUGCCCGAGUGCUGCGAGGCCUACGGCGCCUGCUGCGACCAGUACUUCAAGGCGUGCAAGCAAUGCUCCAACAUUGUAAACGAAGACAAGUUUUUCCCCGAGUACUGCUGCGCUUCCUUCACCGACUGCUGCGACCUCAUAACCACUUUCACCACGGAGGUCAAGGCCCCGACUUCGCGCAAAGCCAAGGGCAAGGCCAAGGUGGACCUGCCCGUGCCCAUCACUCCGGCUCCCAGGCCCGAGGUCUUCCCAGGGGUCAGCGAGUACCCGGGCGAGGAAGCCCGGCCCGAGGCUCCCCUUGUUCCUGCAGCGCCUGUUGACCCAGUCGCCGCUGUUGCCCCAGAGGCUCCUGAUGCCCCAGGGGCUCCUGUUGCCCCAAAGGCUCCUGUAGCCCCCAGCGCACCAUUCCCCGCCGACUCAGCGAGAGAGCAGCCUAAGCGCGGCCGAGGUGCUGGCAGCAAUGGAGGUGCCGCAGGCGGCCGCGGCGCCGCCCGGGGGAGGCAGCCCCAGCGCAGCCAGGCGCAGGGACCGCCGGCCAACAACAGGAGAGGGCGCGUCACGUCCAGGGGCCGCGUGCUGUAACCUCUUCCCUCUCGCUCCUCCUUUCGCCCUGUCUUGUCUCUUCAGUCUAUUCUUAAGCCUUUUCUUUAUUUCACAUCUUACCUCUUUCUUCUAACUAUUGCUUUAUAUUCUCUAAAUCAUCAUUUAGCCCUUCCCCUUCUUUCUCUUGUAUAUGAAAUCGUAGCGAAUUUCGAAAAUUUCAAUUCCUCUUCUCUUUGUGCCUAAAUAUUCAACAUUCACCAUAUUUCUCGUCUCUCUCUCUCUCUCUCUCUCUCUCUCUCUCUCUCUCUCUCUCUCUCUCUCUCUCUCUCUCUCUCUCUCUCUCUCUCUCUCUCUCUCUCUCUCUCUCUCUCUCUCCUCUCUCUUUCCCUCUCCCUCUCCCUCUUCCUCUCCCUCUUCCUCUCCCUCUUCCUCUCCCUCUCCCUCUCCCUCUCCCUCCCUAGUUCUCUCCUGUCCCUUCGACCUUCCCGCCUUCCUCCCCGCCUGUCGUCCUGGCCCCUGCUGCAGGAGCUGCUGCCGAAGAGACUCGAGAUAAGAUCAGAAAAUGUGGAACUGUCUCCAUUGUUAUUAGUAUAUACUGCAGUUUUCUCUUUCAAGUGAUCUGUUCUAUUUCUUUUAUUACUCAUCUAAGCACUGUCGCCUGGCCGUCCCAGUUCAACGUCAGCGAUUGCACAAUCCGGUAGCCCUCGCAUUAUCGGGUCCUUCGGAAGCGGCAGGAUCUCCUUGACUUGGAAACGGCAGUUUUGCUUCUUAAAAGGAGGCCGAGCCUGGCGUUUCGCGGACCACUACUGGAGAGUGAAAAAGCAGGUCCUUUCAAGAGUCGACCGCGCCCGGCGUUGGCUUCACGGAUCGGGUUGCGCUGCCCGCGCCUCGCCCUCGUGGGCUGCGCCGAAGUCAACGACUCCUCGGGGAUAUUUCAUAAGAAUAAACGGAAAUCGUA